rnacentral:rRNA from 1 species
UACGAAGGUGGCAAGCGUUGUUCGGAUUUACUGGGCGCACAGGGAGCGUAGGCGGUUGGAUAAGCCCUCCGUGAAAUCUCCAGGCUUAACCUGGAAAGUGCAGAGGGGACUGUUCAGCUAGAGGAUGGGAGAGGAGCGCGGAAUUCCCGGGUGUAGCGGUGAAAUGCGUAGAGAUCGGGAGGAAGGCCGGUGGCGAAGGCGGCGCUCUGGAACAUUUCUGACGCUGAGGCUCGAAAGCGUGGGAGCAACAGG